rnacentral:rRNA from 1 species
UGUGGGAAUAUUGGAGCAAUAGGGGGAGACGCCUGAUGCAGCAACGCCGCGUGAGCGAUGAAGGCCUUCGGGUUGUAAAGCUCUGUCUUCUGGGACGAUAAUGACCGUACCCGAAGGGGAAGGCCCGGGUAACUACCUGCCCGCCGCCGCCGGUAUAUAUAA